GGGGUGUGUUUAGACAAAGGGUGCAUUCCUAGAGAUCUCUGGUGCUGAAGGGCCUCGAGUUCCUUUCAGAGACUGCAUUUGACACAUUUUAAGUAUCCACAAAUGAAUGGUAUCACAUGCAAUAUUUAAAUGGAGCAAUGGGAGAGGCUCUUUGAAACGGGGUUUUGCAUCUUUUUGUAACAUUUUCAUUUCUCUGGUGCCUUAUUCCUACUCAUUGCUGGCACUCACAUACCCACAGGGAACUGACAUGGAAGUCAGCCUCGGGAGUGGGAACACGUGGGCGAUGCUUGAGCUGCGGGAGCGUGGGGAGGGGACUAGAUGGCAUCUCUUAGCUGAAGCCAAGCAGGAACUGCACAAAUCCAUGCAAAAGUGAACAAUUCCAACCUGUAAACACACCGCAAACUCAUCCUUCCUCAUCUGAGCUUUCCUUCCUUCUUCCUCUUCUAUCUCUGCCUUCUCGUAAAGGUGCUGCUGCUGCUGCUGCUAAGGUGCCCGGAGUCCAGAAUGCCCAGUAAUCACUCAGGCACGAGCCUGGCACUGCCACGUCAGCCCCUGGCACGACCAAACCCAGGUUUCUCUUGCUUGGGGCUGAGAACCGUCAGAUUUUUCUCAUCAAAAAUGUUUUCCAAGGAAUCUGCGUUGAAAAUGCACUUUAAAAAGUAAAUCAAAGCUCCAGACUGUUUAAAAUGUACAGAGGGAGCAGGGGAAAGAUAAACAUGUGCUAGUGUCUGAACCCAGUUCAGUUUAUCUCCAGUUGAAACAAUAUACACUAUAUUAUGUAUAAAUGUAUACACACUUCCUAUAUAUAUCCAUAUAUAUAGUGUAUAUAUUAUACAUGUAUAGGGUGUAUAUGUGCAUAUAUACACACAUGCACAUAAUGAAAUCAGAUGCUCAUUACAAAUCCAGAUGCUCAUUACAAAACCAGAUGCUCAUUACAAAACCAGAUACUACACAAACAGCAGCAGAGGAAACAAGGUUGGACUCUUGCAACAGAUCACAAAAAAUAAAAACAGCCACUUGCAGUGACUUUGGUCAUUUCUGUAUGUUCACAAGGAAUGGAUUGUAACAAAGAAAAAAAGGAACAGUGUUAGUGAAAGAGGAAAAAUGGGCGAAACCAUCUUGAUCCAAUGGGAAUGCAGUAAUGUUCUCUACCAUUUCAUCUAUUUCUUUUAGUCAUGUUGAUUUGAUUUCAGUUUUUGGCUAUUAAAAAAUUUUUUAACUCAAGUGACCCACAACAAACUGAAUAAAACAACUACAGUGAAAGCCCUUUCCAAUGGAAGAUGUCAGAAAUCUCAAAACCCUUGGCCUGGCUCAGAACUACCGUGUGCAAAUCAGUACUCUCUUAAUGUUUGAAAUAAAAACUGAAAAAAAAAAAAACUUUUUUGAAGCACCUUAAUGUGGCCAUCCAUUCAAGGAGUGGGUGCCACUUUUUUCUUUGAGCACCUUAUUGACGUGUUUUGCUAUCUGCUGUCUUUCUGUUACCUGUUGGCUGAAUGGCUAGCUGUUAACAUACGCACGUGCACAGACCUGACGUCUGGGCAUGUGUGUUCUCAAUGAAGUUUACUGUGGUGACUGCUGAAAGGUGAACCCAUUUCCUGAUUUUCCCGCCACAGUGUUGUGAUAAGAUUCAAAGAAACCCUAUUCCCUGCACAGAAAUGUUUCUUAUCACAUUGUAUCUUAGUAUGGAAAGGAAUAUGGUCCCUUUUUUGCAAUUGCUACUGUACACACACACACACACACACGUGCACAAAGAUUCAUUCGUCCAAGUGGUAUUUUCAAUGUCUGUGUGGGUGUCACUGUUUAUGCAGUUUCUAUUUCCCAAUAAAUUUUGAAGGGAGGGCAACUUUUCUAACCAGAUUGUCUUUUCAGACUGAAGACCUGGGAAUUGGGGAAGAUUUUGGAAAAAGGGAGAGGCAAGGAAAGAGAGAGCUUUAUAUUGAAAGAAUAAUUCAAUUCUUUCUUCAAUUCCCAAGAGGAACCUGAGCUUAAUGACCACAGAGACUGUACCCUCCAAUCUUUGCAGGUGGGCAUGGAACACUGCUUGUAUCCAUCUGUGUACCGUACAAACCCAUGUAGACACAUCACACACAUCCAUCCAUCAAUAUAUACGUGGUUUGGGAUGAGCAGGUCAAUAGUUUUGAGAGGGAGUUUGUUCCUUUUUUUUUUUUCUCAUUAUACUCUUAAAUCGUUGUCAGUUAUCAAACAAACAAAAAAAUUGUUUUGAAAAACCUUGCAUACGCCUUUUCUAUCAAGUGCUUUAAAAUAUAGACUAAAUACACACAUCCUGCCAGUUUUUUCUUACAGUGACAGUAUCCUUACCUGCCAUUUAAUAUUAGCCUCGUAUUUUUCUCACGUAUAUUUACCUGUGACUUGUAUUUGUUAUUUAAACAGGAAAAAAAACAUUCAAAAAAAGAAAAAUUAACUGUAGCGCUUCAUUAUACUAUUAUAUUAUUAUUAUUAUUGUGACAUUUUGGAAUACUGUGAAGUUUUAUCUCUUGCAUAUACUUUAUACGGAAGUAUUACGCCUUAAAAAUACGAAAAUAAAUUUUACAAGGUUUCUGUUUUGUGUGGAAGAGUAAUUGAUGUUGCUAAGAAUGAUGUUUGUUUUUUGGGGUUUUUGUUGUUUUUUUUUAAAUGUUACCAGCACUUUUUUUGUAAGUUUCACUUUCCGAGGUAUUGUACAAGUUCACACUGUUUGUGAAGUUUGAAUAUGAAGGAAUAAUUAAAAAAAAAAAAAACUC
ensembl:lncRNA